AUUGAACGCUGGCGGCAGGCCUAACACAUGCAAGUCGAGCGGAGCGGCGGACGGGGGAGUAAUGCCUAUGAAUCUGCAUGUUCGUGGGGGCUAACGUCCGGAAACGGGCGCUAAUGCCGCAUACUAUCAGAUGUGGCUAGGUCGGAUUAGCUAGUUGUUGGGGUAAAGGCGUACCAAGGCGACGAUCCGUAACUGGUCUGAGAGGAUGAUCAGUCACACUGGAACUGAGACACGGUCCAGACUCCUACGGGAGGCAGCAGUGGGGAAUAUUGGACAAUGGGCGAAAGCCUGAUCCAGCCAUGCCGCGUGUGUGAAGAAGGUCUUCGGAUUGUAAAGCACUUUAAGUUGGGAGGCGUUACCAACAGAAUAAGCACCGGCUAACUUCGUGCCAGCAGCCGCGGUAAUAC
rnacentral:rRNA from 1 species